AUAUUGUUUUGUAGUAAGACGAAACAGAGUACCCUUUUCCGUCAACUAUGUUAUUUACAUAGUAAUAUGAAAAAGGGUACCCUUUUUCGUCUUAUUAUAAAAGAUCAUAUU